CCAGCAGCUGCGGUAAUUCCAGCUCCAAUAGCGUAUACUAAAGUUGUUGCAGUUAAAAAGCUCGUAGUUGAAUUUCUGACUUUGAGGCGCGACCGGCCCCGUGUGGGUCUGUGUCUGUGAAUCGAGGUCAUCCUCGGGGAAUGCGUAUCUGUCAUUAAGUUGAUGGGUACGAGUACCCCGUCAUUUACUGUGAGCAAAAUAGAGUGUUCAAAGCAGGCUUACGCCACUGAAUACAUUAGCAUGGAAUAAUAAGAUAGGACCUUGGUCUAUUUUGUUGGUUAGUACUCCAAGGUAAUGAUUAAUAGGGACAGUUGGGGGUAUUCGUAUUCAAUUGUCAGAGGUGAAAUUCUUGGAUUUAUGGAAGACGAACUACUGCGAAAGCAUUUACCAAGGAUGUUUUCAUUAAUCAAGAACGAAAGU
rnacentral:rRNA from 1 species